UACAGAGGGGGCAAGCGUUGUUCGGAAUUACUGGGCGUAAAGGGCGCGUAGGCGGCCUUCUAAGUCGAACGUGAAAUCCCUGGGCUCAACCCAGGAACUGCGUCCGAUACUGGAAGGCUUGAAUCCGGGAGAGGGAUGCGGAAUUCCCGGUGUAGUGGUGAAAUGCGUAGAUAUCGGGAGGAACACCAGUGGCGAAGGCGGCCUUCUGGACGGUGACUGACGCUGAGGCGCGAAAGCGUGGGGAGCAAACGGG
rnacentral:rRNA from 1 species